ACCCUCCAGACGUUGCCGUUUCGGUGAGUACCUCUUUCCUUCAACUUCUUUUCUUCUUCCUUCCAAGGUAUUCUCUCUUCUGAGUUCCAUAUGGCCCACGUUCUUGCAGUUAACACGAAUUGGUUCUCAUACUCAAACUUUCCAUAUCAAACUCUACUUGUCACUUUCACUCUCCUUUCCACUGCAUCUUUGCUUCGCUUUCCUUGGUGGAUUUUCUAGCUUUGGUGUUUUCGAACUUUGACGAACGGUGGUAAAAUCUAUCCUCUCUUUUUCUCUCUCUAAAUCUGAAAUUUCUUAUUUUUCUUGGAUUUCACCUAGCCACCAGAAAUUUUAGUUUUCAAUUUUAAGUGUAAUCACCUCUUAUUUCAUUUUUUCUUUCCUUUUACUUAUUUUUUUCAUCUUUGUCGAUUUUUGCAUAUCCAUACGAUAUCCUCAUUGUUGCAAAUAUUCUCGUUGCCAUUGUUUUCUCCUGAUUUCUCUAGUGAACCAAGGUGGUGAAACACUCAGAGGUCGAACUCAAGACUAAGUUAACGUUCUGUAAAAGUGAGAUAAGCGAGGUUUUUAUAUUAGACUUUGCAUAAAAAGAAAAUGAAAAGAUGUUGACUUUUAAAAUAUGCAUGUUUUAUUUUUUAAAAGAAAUGUGAAAAACAAUCUCAAUUAUUUAUUUCGGCACUACUUAUGAACUCUAUAUGAAAGAGAAAAUACUUUUAUCAUGAAUGGUGUAGAUAUGAACUUAUUUUUGCAUAUAUUUCUAAACUUUGUAAAAAGAGUGAAAAUGAGAUUCUUAAAGUCUUGUUGUGAUUAAGAUGAAGAUACUUUGAUUUUGUUUUAUUGAAUACAUGAAAUGAUCUGAAACUAAUCAGUAUUUUGUUAUGAUACGAUGUGUAAGUUGAAAAACACCUUGGCAUGAGUUUCUGUUUCUAUAGCUGAUUAUGAUCUGGUUCCGAUGAUAUUUCUGUUAAGGCCCCGCCAUGGGUAUAAUAGUGACAUACAGCCCUACCAUGGAUAUAAUAGUGGUCGUCAUAGGUAUAAUAGUGGCAUACAGCCCUGCCAUAGGUAUAAUAGUGGCAUACAGUUCAACCACGGGUAUAAUAGUAGUUUAUAACCUUACCAUGGGGGUGAAACAUGGAAUACGGCCCAACUACGGAUAUAAUGGUGGUUUAUAACCCUACCACGGAGGGUGAAACAUGAUAUACGACCCAGCCACAGGUAUAGUAGUAGUUUAUAACUCUACCAUGGGGUUAAACAUGGUAUCUGUCCCGAUAUGAUGUUUUGAUGCAAUAUGAAGAUCAUGUUUCAAUUUACGAUAUGCCAACGGGUUUAUUUUUAGAAUAAAAAAGUUUUACUGAAAACUUCACUCUGUUAUUUUUGUAAUAUAUUUGAUUCUGCAUUCUGAAAGCAAAUUGUCUCUGAUUCUACAUUUUGAAAGUAAAAGUUUUGUUAUGCAUUCUAAACUUCGUAAAUCCUCAUGUUUGUAUACUAGUAUAGUUUCUUUGCUUAUUGAGUUGUUGAUAACUCUCCUCCUUAUCUCCAUAACAUUUGUCAGAUGACUUUGAUGAUACAACUAAGGAGUAAUAGAGUAUGUGGCAAGAAUAUUGAGGGUUGUGGUUGAGUAUCUUGGAGUACAAGUGUUGUUGGAAGAUUUAUUUAUAAGUAAUUCGAUUUUAGUAUAUUCAAAUGAUUAUGAAGACUUAUGUAUUAUUUAAGUUCAUUAUGUUAAUAGAGACGUGGAGAAGUUGUUUUGUUUUAUUUGGAUUAUGGUAUUGAGGAGUUGAUGGAUUGAUUUGUACAGUUAAUUAUAUUAGAGGAAUUUAUGUUUGGUUUUAGAGUCUUUGCAAA